AGCCCUUCGGGGUGGAUUAGUGGCGAACGGGUGAGUAACACGUGGGCAAUCUGCCCUUCACUCUGGGACAAGCCCUGGAAACGGGGUCUAAUACCGGAUAACACCGGCUUCCGCAUGGAAGCUGGUUAAAAGCUCCGGCGGUGAAGGAUGAGCCCGCGGCCUAUCAGCUUGUUGGUGGGGUAAUGGCCUACCAAGGCGACGACGGGUAGCCGGCCUGAGAGGGCGACCGGCCACACUGGGACUGAGACACGGCCCAGACUCCUACGGGAGGCAGCAGUGGGGAAUAUUGCACAAUGGGCGAAAGCCUGAUGCAGCGACGCCGCGUGAGGGAUGACGGCCUUCGGGUUGUAAACCUCUUUCAGCAGGGAAGAAGCGAAAGUGACGGUACCUGCAGAAGAAGCGCCGGCUAACUACGUGCCAGCAGCCGCGGUAAUACGUAGGGCGCAAGCGUUGUCCGGAAUUAUUGGGCGUAAAGAGCUCGUAGGCGGCUUGUCACGUCGGGUGUGAAAGCCCGGGGCUUAACCCCGGGUCUGCAUCCGAUACGGGCAGGCUAGAGUGUGGUAGGGGAGAUCGGAAUUCCUGGUGUAGCGGUGAAAUGCGCAGAUAUCAGGAGGAACACC
rnacentral:rRNA from 2 species